GUCCACGCCCUAACGAUGUCAACUGGUUGUUGGACGGCUUGCUGUUCAGUAACGAAGCUAACGCGUGAAGUUGACCGCCUGGGAGUACGGCCGCAAGGUUGAACUCAAGGAAUUGACGGGACCCGCACAAGCGGUGGAUGAUGUGGUUUAAUUCGAUGCAACGCGAAACCUUACCUACCCUUGACAUGUCUGGAAUUUUGCAGAGAUGUGAAAGUGCUCGAAAGAGAGCCAGAACACAGGUGCUGCAUGGCCGUCGU
rnacentral:rRNA from 1 species